GGUUAUUUUAUACAAUACUUCAAAGACUGGUUGUAACAUAGAUAAUACAUAAUUAUGAACUAUUUAUGGGCUAUAAGCAUAUAUAUUAUAUGUACAAAAAAAAAUGUAUCAUCUGCAAUGUGGUGUUAUUAAUUUUAUUGCUCACAUGUCAAAGACAAUAAUCAAAGGAGUUGGUCACUAUGUAACAGGAAUGUGAAUUUUUUUCACAAAAUAAUAUUCAAUAAUUUGUCUCUCGUGUAAGUAAAACACGAUUAAAGCCUUGCAUAAACACCAGACAUAAAUAUUAAAUAGGUACUAAAAAAAAAAAAAAAUAAUAAUUAAGAGGACAGAUGCAGGUAUACAUUAUAUUGUAAUAUCCCAUAACGCCAAUUUGAAUAGAUACUUCCUCAUACCCACGAUGUAGAUAAGAUUGCAUUGUGGUUUAAAGUAUCGGACAAUAAUUUAAAAUCUAGUUUCAAAAAAUAUUUGCCGUUUAGUUAUUAUUUGAAAACAUCAGUUUGUAAACAUUAACGUACCUGCAAAUUGCGGAUGACGCCAUAUUUGAGUAUACAAUAAUAUAUAUAUAUUAUACGGAGUAAAGAUGUCUAUUGUCUAUCUAUUAUAUAUAUAUAUCUGUUAUAUAUGUAUCUGUGAUCAUACCAUAAUGAUUUUUUGUACGACAAACAGAAUCACAUAAUUAAAGUGUUUCUAUGCAAAACGUAUUAUUUUUCAAAAACCAUUUUUUUUCAGGAUUAGUAAUUUUCUGUUUCAAACGAUCCAAACAAGUAAGCAAAUAUGUGUAUAUUUUAAAAAUUAAAUAUUUAUUAUUUAAAAAUAAAAAGUAAUAAAU